rnacentral:lncRNA from 1 species
UUAAAGGAAAAAUAUAGUUCAAUAAGAAUUAUAUGUUGUUAUCAUGAGCAAUUCUAUGGAAAAUAUUUUGAGAGAAAAAUUACAAAGUGUUGCAAUCCUUUUGGAACACACAAGGAAAGUAAAAAAAUUGCUAUAAAAGGUAAUAUAAAGAUUUCCAUAGACAUGGCAAACUAUUUGCAAAAAAAUAAUGUUUAUGUAACCCCAGGUUGGAAAUUCUGCAGUAAAUGUUACAAAAAAGCAAUAGAAACUGAUGAAGAUUUAAAUUCACAGGAGGAAUGGGAAUCAAAAAGUGAGAAAAAAAUUAAGUUAGAUACCACUAUAGAAUUGCUUGGAAUCUCACCGGUCAAACUAAAAAGUCUUUCAAAACACAGC